UAAAUUUUUUUGUUUGUUUGAAUUUUUGCAGUUUGCAGAGUGCUUAUUGGAAGAAAAGGACCUUGAUUUUUCAACUAACUUUGACGCUAUCAACGCUGUGAGAGUUGACAUUGCCACUACCUGUCUGCGCCAAUCAGAAUUACUGGACAACAUGUGCAGUCACUGUGGGAGUGCGGACACAGACGAUCCUCUGUGGAUUGCCUGUGACAGAUGCAACAGGUGGUA